CUGAAGAAACGUUAUUGAAAC
ensembl:piRNA 21ur-3963 ncRNA